rnacentral:rRNA from 1 species
AUUGAACGCUGGCGGCAGGCUUAACACAUGCAAGUCGAGCGGAUGAAGGGAGCUUGCUCCUGGAUUCAGCGGCGGACGGGUGAGUAAUGCCUAGGAACCUGCCUGGUCGUGGGGGAUAACGUCCGGAAACGGGCGCUAAUACCGCAUACGUUCUGAGGGAGAAAGUGGGGGAUCUUCGGACCUCGCGCUAUCAGAUGAGCCUAGGUCGGAUUAGCUAGUUGGUGGGGUAACGGCUUACCAAGGCGACGAUCCGUAACUGGUCUGAGAGGAUGACCAGUCACACUGGAACUGAGACGCGGUCCAGGCUCCUACGGGAGGCAGCGGUGGGGAAGGUUGGACGAUGGGCGGAAGACUGCUCCAUCCAUGCCGCGUGUGUGAAGAAAGUCUUCGGAUUGGAAAGCGCUUUAAGUUGGGAGGAAGGGCAGUAAGAUAAUCCCUGGCUGUGUUGACGGUACCUACAGAAUAAGCACCGGCUAACUUCGUG